AUUGAACGCUGGCGGAAUGCUUUACACAUGCAAGUCGAACGGUAGAGGGGGCAACCCCUUGAGAGUGGCGAACGGGUGAGUAAUAUAUCGGAACGUGCCCAGUCGUGGGGAUAACGUAGCGAAAGUUACGCUAAUACCGCAUACGAUCUAAGGAUGAAAGCGGGGGAUCGCAAGACCUCGCGCGAUUGGAGCGGCCGAUAUCAGAUUAGGUAGUUGGUGAGGUAAAGGCUCACCAAAGCCAACGAUCUGUAGCUGGUCUGAGAGGACGACCAGCCACACUGGAACUGAGACACGGUCCAGACUCCUACGGGAGGCAGCAGUGGGGAAUUUUGGACAAUGGACGCAAGUCUGAUCCAGCCAUUCCGCGUGCAGGAUGAAGGCC
rnacentral:rRNA from 1 species